GAACGUCGUGAGACAGUUCGGUCCCUAUCUGCCGUGGGUGUUGGAAAUUUGAGAGGAGCUGCCCCUAGUACGAGAGGACCGGGGUGGACGUACCUCUGGUGGACCUGUUGUCGCGCCAGCGGCAUAGCAGGGUAGCUAUGUACGGAAGGGAUAACCGCUGAAUGCAUCUAAGCGGGAAGCCCCCCUCAAAACCAGGUCUCGCUGAGAACCGUGGUAGACCACCACGUCGAUAGGCUGGAGGUGGAAGCGU
rnacentral:rRNA from 1 species